UCCAUCAGCAGGCCGUGUCUGCUGGGACCUCUCUGGAGACUUCCUGAACCCUGUGGAUUUACAGUAAGAUGCAGUUUCCUGGGGAG
ensembl:misc_RNA Gm27718 predicted gene, 27718